rnacentral:rRNA from 1 species
GAUGAACGCUGGCGGCGUGCCUAAUACAUGCAAGUCGAGCGAACAGACGAGGAGCUUGCUCCUCUGACGUUAGCGGCGGACGGGUGAGUAACACGUGGAUAACCUACCUAUAAGACUGGGAUAACUUCGGGAAACCGGAGCUAAUACCGGAUAAUAUAUUGAACCGCAUGGUUCAAUAGUGAAAGACGGUUUUGCUGUCACUUAUAGAUGGAUCCGCGCCGCAUUAGCUAGUUGGUAAGGUAACGGCUUACCAAGGCAACGAUGCGUAGCCGACCUGAGAGGGUGAUCGGCCACACGGGAACUGAAACACGGUCCAGACUCCUACGGGAGGCAGCAGUAGGGAAUCUUACGCAAUGGGCGAAAGCCUGACGGAGCAACGCGGCGUGAGUGAUGAAGGUCUUCGGAUCGUAAAACUCUGUUAUUAGGGAAGAACAAAUGUGUAAGUAACUAUGCACGUCUUGACGGUACCUAAUCAGAAAGCCACGGCUAACUACGUG